GGUCUUAUGGUGUAAUGGUUAGCACUCUGGACUCUGAAUCCAGCGAUCCGGGUUCAAAUUUCGGUAGGACCU
rnacentral:tRNA from 1 species